CGGACGGGUGAGUAAUGUAUGGGGAUCUGCCUGAUGGCGGGGGAUAACUACUGGAAACGGUAGCUAAUACCGCAUAAUGUCUGCGGACCAAAGCGGGGGACCUCCGGGCCUCGCGCCAUCAGAUGAACCCGUAUGGGAUUAGCUUGUAGGUAAGGUAACGGCUUACCUAGGCGACGAUCCCUAGCUGGUCUGAGAGGAUGAUCAGCCACACUGGGACUGAGACACGGCCCAG
rnacentral:rRNA from 1 species